UACGAAGGGGGCUAGCGUUGCUCGGAAUCACUGGGCGUAAAGCGCACGUAGGCGGCUUCUCAAGUCAGGGGUGAAAUCCUGGAGCUCAACUCCAGAACUGCCUUUGAUACUGAGGAGCUCGAGUCCGGGAGAGGUGAGUGGAACUGCGAGUGUAGAGGUGAAAUUCGUAGAUAUUGCAAGAACACCAGUGGCGAAGGCGGCUCACUGGCCCCGGUACUGACGCUGAGGUGCGAAAGCGUGGGAG
rnacentral:rRNA from 1 species